rnacentral:rRNA from 1 species
GAAUGCCCGAGGGUUCCGUCGCGAUGCUGAUCAUCGACGGGUUAGGCGGGCCUAAGCCGAGGCCGGAAGGCGUAGGCGAUGGACAACGGGUACAUAUUCCCGUCCCACGGCCACACGUUUGAGCGAUGGGGGGACACAGGGAGCUAGGUCCGGGGGUCAGUUGCGACCCUCCAAGCUGGUAGGGAGUCCUGGUAGGCAAAUCCGCCGGGG